GAGAGCAUUGAUUCAACAAUGGACAUACACAAACAGGAAAAAAGCACAGAAAACAACAACAUUUUUAAGACCUACAGCAGAGAAGAAAUUAGUCGACAACUUUGUGGACUCAUUGACAGAAAAUGUAAAACCAAUAAACGAGACCAUGUUCGAAGUCGUUGAACUAACCAGAUCAUGGGUCAUCAACCUCAAGGAGAAAACAUGCAGUUGCAACAGAUUCCAACUUGAUGAGUUACCGUGUGCUCAUGCGCUUCUUUGUUAUAAAAGAGAUGAACUUGAAUGUUUACAACUACUGUUCAGGUUAUUACACCACGCGAACAUGGCUUGAAACAUACAGCGGCUCAACAUAUCCGGUACACAAUCACACAACUUGAGAUGUGCCACAAAACAUAAAAGAUAUCAUUGUUCUGCCACCAAACCAAAAAAUAAGAUCUGGAAGACCAAGGAAACGAAGGUUUUUAUCUGAAUGGGAUACAAAAAAACAUAACAGGUGCAGCAAAUGUGGACAACACGGACACAAUCGAAAGACAUGCAACAAUCAAGCAAUAAAAUAGAUACAUAUGAAAUAUUUGAAUUGUUUAAUUUUGUGUGCAAAUUCAAACAGGUUGAUCUGUGAUGUUCUAAAUACAUGGGAUUUCAUUUUUAUGAAAUUUGAAACAGUUUUUUAAUA